GCGGGUGUGGCGGAACUGGCAGACGCACCGGAUUUAGGUUCCGGCGCCGCAAGGCGUGGGGGUUCGACUCCCUUCACCCGCACCA
rnacentral:tRNA from 2 species